UACGUAGGGGGCAAGCGUUGUCCGGAAUCAUUGGGCGUAAAGAGCGUGUAGGCGGCUCGGUAAGUCCGCUGUAAAAGUCCAGGGCUCAACCCUGGAAAGCCGGUGGAAACUGUCGAGCUAGAGUCCGGAAGAGGCGAGUGGAAUUCCUGGUGUAGCGGUGAAAUGCGCAGAUAUCAAGAGGAACACCAAUGGCGGAAGGCAGCUCGCUGGGACGGUACUGACGCUGAGACGCGAAAGCGUGGGGAGCAAACAGG
rnacentral:rRNA from 1 species